AACGAACGCUGGCGGCAUGCCUAACACAUGCAAGUCGAACGAGACCUUCGGGUCUAGUGGCGCACGGGUGCGUAACGCGUGGGAACCUGCCCUUAGGUUCGGGAUAACUCCCCGAAAGGGGUGCUAAUACCGGAUAAUGUCUUCGGACCAAAGAUUUAUCGCCUUUGGAUGGGCCCGCGUUGGAUUAGCUAGUUGGUAGGGUAAAAGCCUACCAAGGCGACGAUCCAUAGCUGGUCUGAGAGGAUGAUCAGCCACACUGGGACUGAGACACGGCCCAGACUCCUACGGGAAGCAGCAGUGGGGAAUAUUGGACAAUGGGCGAAAGCCUGAUCCAGCAAUGCCGCGUGAGUGAUGAAGGCCUUAGGGUUGUAAAGCUCUUUUACCCGGGAUGAUAAUGACAGUACCGGGAGAAUAAGCGCCGGCUAACUCCGUG
rnacentral:rRNA from 1 species